rnacentral:rRNA from 1 species
UACGUAGGGACCAAGCGUUGUUCGGAUUUACUGGGCGUAAAGGGCGCGUAGGUGGCCUGCUAAGCGUGCGGUGAAAGCUCGGGGCUCAACCCCGAGUCGGCCGUGCGAACUGGUGGGCUUGAGCACUGUAGAGGCAGGCGGAAUUCCGGGUGUAGCGGUGGAAUGCGUAGAGAUCCGGAAGAACACCGGUGGCGAAGGCGGCCUGCUGGGCAGUAGCUGACACUGAGGCGCGACAGCGUGGGGAGCAAACAGG